rnacentral:rRNA from 1 species
UGCCUAACCAUAAUCACAAUUAAAUUACUAAUUGUUCGCCAAACAACUACGAGUCACACUUAAAACUUAAAAGACUUGACGGUACUUCAUCACGACCUAGAGGGGCCUGUCUAAUAACCGAUGAUCCACGAUUAACCCCACCCUUUCUCGCCCAACAGUCUAUAUACCGCCGUCGCCAGCUUACCUUGUAAAAGAAAUAAAGUGAGCCUAACAGUAUUACACUAGAACGACAGGUCGAGGUGUAACCCAUGAAAGGGCCAAGAUGGGCUACAUUCUCCAACCGAGAAUACGAAUAGCACUAUGAAACUAGUGCCUGAAGGCGGAUUUAGCAGUAAGAUAAGAAUAAAACACCUAACUGAACACAACGCAAUGAAGUGCGUACACACCGCCCGUCAUCCCUGUCACCACAACAUUAACCUUAAUAAACCAACUAAAAAACCAAGCAGGGCAAGUCGUAACAUGGUAAGUGUACUGGAAAGUGUACUUAGAAA